GCUGUCCGCCGCCAUGUUUGUGUACAACUACGGCCGCCACAGAGGGACAAACUUCACAGAGGAAAGCGUCGAAACAAGGAGUAAACAGAAAUGCUUCCAGGUUCGCAGAGACAUUCCCUGAAAUAAGCUACAAAUCAUAAACAAACAAUCCUCCAUCCUGCUCUCAGAAACAAACCAGGCAGGUUUUGGACUUCGGGGAAUCAGAACCUGGCAGGCUGGAAGAACGUUGCAACUUCGGCUCCAUGCAGAGCAGCCGGUGACCAGCAGGUGUCGCUGUCUGAUCAGGGAAGCUGUUGGGCUGCAACUGCGUGACCUGCGGUUCCGAUCACCACGACGGGCAGAACCGAACACAUUCGGAGCGCAUGGCUCAGCUUGUUUCCAACAGGUCCAAAUAGUCUCAGUGGAACCAGAACCUUCGGCAGGUCAAAGGUCAUCCAGCGGUGCAAUGUUAUCAAAUGCUGCAGAGCUAGCAGUGGUUUAUUUCUGGUUUCACCCUGAUGGUACCAGAACCUGUUCGCUACCAGAACCCGGACCCAGCAACUGGAACCACCUUCCUCUAAGAAGACGAAGGGCAGAGCUUCCUGGACCUGGUUCUGGUAGCAACACGACCAAGGUGGUUCCGACUACUGGGGCUAGGUUAGACAAGGGGUCAGAGGUCAGGACUCUGGACUCAUUUCUGGAGAGGAAAGCAACGGAGACCCAGAAUCCAGUUGGGCAGGUUCUGGUUCUGGUACCAGACUGCUCAGUGAGUUGCCUGCAAAGUGAGGAAGACAAUCUUCUUCUGCAGUGGUUGCAGCGCGGCUGAUCCGGAUGUCGUCAUCACACCUGAAAUAUUCAGCAGACGCUGCGCUGCUCCACCUGACGCCGUGAUGCGCCCGCAGGUCGCCGCAUGACGCAACGCGCUGCAACUGCUGCUCCUCUUCAUCACCAGGAUGACGAGGGGAAAGAGCAGGAGAGCUGCUCCUCCUCACCUGAAACUUUUCAUAAAUCAUCUGAAUGAAAUCUGAUCAAUCUGAUCCUCCAGGCCUAAAACCUGCUCCUCUUCAUCACAGUCUUCCUCAGUGGAGACGGAGCGCGGUGUCCCUCAGAACAACUGGAUGUUUGGGAGGAAAACCUCAACACGUUAGCAUUAGCUACUACUAGCAUGACCUUUGACCCGGGAACCUAUCAAAGCAUCAGCUCUUUCAUAAACUUGAUUAAAAUUCUUAAUCCAAAUAAUUGCAGAGUCGGUAAUUCUCAGUUCAACGUGUUUUUGCUGCUAAAUCACUGAAUACAUUUCUCAUUUUUAAUCUUCCGGUUCUUCACCAGAUUGGAACAAAGUUAAUCUUUCCAUAAUUUCUGUGAUCAUUCAUUUGGCUUCUUGACAAAUGUGGACACUAACAUUAGCGUUACCUGCUACAUGUUAGCAUUGAGGUGCUAACUGCUUCGAUCACAACAUAAGCACAGCCGUGGUGUCUUCCAUCGUCCAAUCAGAUCGCUGGAAGCAGAAAUCCUGAACGACCCGCCUUAAGGUCACCUCAGGCUCGGCUCUGCUGCUGACCUUUGGGUCCGGGUUAGCUUCUGGUAGGAAGGACUCUCUGUGCGUGACCUCUGACCUCUCAAGCUGGAAGCAGAGCUGUGUAAAUGUCAGAGGAACAAACGGACCUCUGUGGCGCCGGUCGGCUGCUCCAAUCACAUGCCAGGCCCUGCAGAUUAGAACCGAGCCGGGAUAAUCUGAGGGACGAAAACACAACCAGAGUUCUGGAUCAGAACCACAGAGUUCUGGAUCAGAACAAGGCAUCCUCUUACAGAGCGACUGCAUCAGCAGCAGGAAGAGUCAAAGGUCAACCCGAAGGUCACCCAGAACAACCUGGACCAGCAGGGUCAAAGUUCAGACUGAGCUCCCACUACACCUUCAGCAGAACCAGUUCACGGAAA